GAUGAACGCUAGCGACAGGCCUAACACAUGCAAGUCGAGGGGCAGCGAAGAGGUAGCAAUACCUUUGUCGGCGACCGGCGCACGGGUGAGUAACACGUAUGCAAUCCACCUGUAACAGGGGGAUAACCCGGAGAAAUCCGGACUAAUACCCCAUAAUAUGGGCGCUCCGCAUGGAGGGCUCAUUAAAGAAAGCAAUUUGGUUACAGACGAGCAUGCGCUCCAUUAGCCAGUUGGCGGGGUAACGGCCCACCAAAGCGACGAUGGAUAGGGGUUCUGAGAGGAAGGUCCCCCACAUUGGAACUGAGACACGGUCCAAACUCCUACGGGAGGCAGCAGUGAGGAAUAUUGGUCAAUGGUCGGCAGACUGAACCAGCCAAGUCGCGUGAGGGAAGACGGCCCUACGGGUUGUAAACCUCUUUUGUCGGAGAGUAAAGUACGCUACGUGUAGCGUAUUGCAAGUAUCCGAAGAAAAAGCAUCGGCUAACUCCGUG
rnacentral:rRNA from 1 species